GGGAGGGCCGCGCGGCGUCGGAGCCCCAGGCAGGGCGCGCUGCUGCUUGUAGCGCUGCCGGCCCGACUGCGUGCUGACCGUGAGCGGAACGCCCGCGUUUGCUCACGCUGCGGACGGGAGGUUGCGGUUUGCAAACUCCCGGCUCUCACUGUUGCUGCGGGGAAAAGCAGAAGAGCCAGCAGCGACUGGCGUGGCAGCAGCUAGCAGCGUUUCUUGGUUCGUGAACGCAUGGAGCAACGCCAUCACAGCUGCUUCCAGGCCAGGAGGAAGGGCUGCAGAAUGGGAAGCUGCCUCUGCUAUCGCAAGGGGAUGACGGAAGAAGCACACACGGGCACGGCCAGGCCUGCUGAUACAGCACAGCACCUUCAGGGCUAAAGCAGAGCCUGGAAUGCAGAACAGGACAUUGGUGCAGAGGGGGCAGGAAGGGAGAAUGAUGCCCGCUGCAAUCACGGUAUAUCAGAAAGGCAGACAUUCUCCCCAGCACAUCCUUAUAAGAAUAAAGAGCUUGGGGAUGGCGCGAGACCUGGAACAGUCUUUUAAGCAGAGCAUGCUUGCUACUGCACAUCUCACACACACAAAUACGCAGCAAAAUGAAGCAACGAGGGAACAGAAUGACAAGAGAUGACACAAGACAACGUAUCUCAACUGCUAAGAGUCGUGCAGAAUGAAGCACGGGAGUGCAUGGCAGGACUUGCCAGGAACAGACAUGAAAGCAGGCACAGUGCCAGCACAGAAACCCAACAGCUCACUGUGCGAGGGAGGACGACCUCCCUGCUCCCUUCUCAGAGGCAGAGCACAGUCCUUACUGCAGGUAACCAGCUGAGGAACAGCCCUUUCAAUCCAUAGCGCCACUCGGAAUGAGUGGGAGAAGAAAGGAAAAGCAGCAAUUGCCAUUCUUUUUUAUUAGCAAAGGACAGCAUCUGGACACGUAAAGAAAAGCAGCCCUUUCCAACAUUAACUCAAAUGUUGUUGUCAGUUACGGUCCCACACUCGGGUCUUCCAUACAGCCAGAACCGUUGGGUAAGCACAGCACAGAAACACAACAUACAGUAUAUAUAUAUAUACACACACAUAGGUUUCUCACCAACUAAAAUGGACUUCAGAUUUUUGGAGACGAGCAACGCUUUGUUCGUUUGACUUUGCAAGUAAUACCAAAACAUCUCACGUUUUAAAAUAAAACACACGACAGUAUUCACAAUAUAAAACUGAAAUACAGUUUACAAAAAGUGAGAGGACUUCUCGCAGCCAUCGCUUUGUCGCAGCCGUUCUGUCCCAGCAGCAGCUCCUGCCGGGGAAGAGCUGAGGAUUUAAGGUCUGCAAAGGGACGUUCACAUUCUGCAUUGCUCCCGCUCAGAGCCAGGAGCACAGCCGGGCUCAGUGCAGGGCUGCCCGGCCUCCCACAGCACAGCUGCAGCCCCACGUGUCACCAGCACGCAAUGGGUUACCUGCUCUGCACUCCCGGCUCAGCUGAUGGCUGGGCGAGCAAGUGGAGAGGAGCAGGAGGUACAGAGGUGGGCAGCAAUCGCUCUCCUCUGCUAUCCCAUCCCUUCUGACAAACUCCAACGUGGUUUGAAUAAAGUGACAGCAGGGAAGCAGCUCGCGGGUCAGACUCUUUGGUGGCACUGCAGAGCACCGAGGGGGACUCAUCCCACCAUCCCACCGUGCCGUGUGAGCUCUGCACAAACAGGGAAGCUACACAGAGGAGAAACUCACUCCACCCUUAGGCAAUCUCAUCCACAAUAAGAGAGCAUUAAGUGUGCUUGAAAGGCAAGGGAAUGCAAUUCUGCCUAGGAAGUGUGAAUUCUGUGAUGGAAUCCACGUUUGGGUCUUUCGUUUCCCUUUCACGAUUGAAAGCAAGCAGGAGAUCAGGACAAACAACAACAGUCUUUGGUAACUUCUGCAAGAGCCACUAAGCACUACUUAGAUCUUGCAAUAACCAUCAUAAAGCCUAAUUAGAUCUACAGAAGUUUCACAGAUUUACAAAACUGGGGCACAACCUAGGAAAAUAGCCUGGGGGGGGGGGAGGGGGUCAGAAACUGCACAGGAACCUGAGCCCCGAUUCCUGCUCCAGCCACACAGCAGGGCCUCAGUGCAAGCAGAGCCCAGAUACACCAGCUGAACCAAUAACCUCUUACUGCAGACAGACAGACGGCGUCUGGAGUGCAUUUGAGGGUACUUUAAGGCAAAAAAGAGUGCACACUAGCUGAGGUGACAGGCAGGCCUAAGAAAACAGUCCAAGGGUGGACCAAGCAGACGUGGCAUACUUUCACAGUUAGGUUGCACAGUGGGUCGGUUCAAAGGUGCUUUGGAUCCCAUCACUUUUGGCCACCUGCUACUUUAAGUAUGGCUCAGGUAAGUUGCAGCCUUUCUAUGAGUGAAAAUGACCUCCUGCAUAACAUGCCUGCUUUUCUGUUCAGUUCCCGAUAAAUAAUCUUUCACAUCACACAUUCAUUUCCACAGCUGGCUCUCCCCUCCUGUUUGCAAAUGGCUCAGCUGAUCUACCAGGGAGCAAAGAGGCAGAGGAGAACCCGAGCUACUCCUGCUGAACAUACAGCUUCUGCAGAAGAGGCUGCAGGCAGUCAUGAGGCAGAACAACAAGACUUGCAUUGCCACCUUGCAAAUGUCACCUGCUUUGUGUCUUGGCUAACAGCACAAUCUGGCCACUCAGGUGGCAUGUCCAAUGAUCAGUAAGCCCUCUGUAACUCUAACAUUUCCAACAGUGCUAUAAACAAGAGCACUGAAUAGAGCUUUUCCUAAGCGAUGUGCUGCUGCCACGAAGCAGGGUCCCAGAGCUGAAAUCUCAAGCCCCUCUCUGCAAACCUAAUUACUCAGAGGCAGAAAACCACACCGGGUCACCCACAUAUAGCAGUCACCAAAGCAGCCUGUGUGAAGCAUAUCAAAGCAAGCACCUCCCUAAAAAUUCUAUAAUGACAAGCCAUUAGCUGCACAUGCUCUGUGUAUAGUCUCCCCACACGAAAUAAUGCCAACAGAUGCUAACUGAAGGCUGCUGUUACCCUGAAGUCCGUCACAAAAGGAUUACAAAACCAAAACCUGCAAAGGAAGGGGAGAAGAAUGAGCUUUCUUCCAGACCAGUGAUGGCACCCACCACAAUAAAGAGCUUUUGCAAGCAGAUCUCAAACAACUGCCAGGCCAUAGAUCCAAUUCCAAUAAGUAAAAAGGCAGGAAUUAAUGAAUUUGUAAGAAAUAACCUGAAAACCACCGUGCCUGGGGGUUUUAUAUAGUGCAAACCACAGUCUGGCUUAUACAAUUCUUUUGUCACUACACUGCUUACUGCUCUCUCAAGGGUUAAAUUCUGAUCUUAAUGGGUGACUGCAUCCUUUCAGCUGAGAUAAAUGGACUCCCUGGCAAAAGGACCUCUGGGAAAUACAUAUGCCAUACUGUGACAACAACAUGCCUCCAACUAGGAGCAUGGCUUGAGGUCAGCUUUCAGUUCCCCGCCUUCUGCUCCUCUUCCUUUCUUGUCACCGCUGCUAGAACUGUUUCAAGGACACUUGAGACUUUUGUAGAAAAGAUUUCUUUCUCCUUUUGUCAAAAAAAAAAAAAAAAACCCAAAGGGUUUCACAUUUACUAUGAGUA